rnacentral:rRNA from 1 species
UACGUAGGCAGCAAGCGUUGUUCGGAAUUACUGGGCGUAAAGAGUGUGUAGGCGGUGCUCUAAGUUCGGUGUGAAAUCUCCCGGCUCAACUGGGAGGGUGCGCCGAAUACUGAGUGACUCGAGUGCGGGAGAGGAGAGUGGAAUUCCUGGUGUAGCGGUGAAAUGCGUAGAUAUCAGGGAGGAACACCGGUGGUGUAGACGGCUCUCUGGACCGUAAACUGACGCUGAGACACGAAAAGCGUGGGUAGCAAACAGG